UACGGGGGGGGCAAGCGUUGUUCGGAAUUACUGGGCGUAAAGGGUUCGUAGGUGGCUCGCUAAGUCAGACGUGAAAUCCCUCAGCUUAACUGGGGAACUGCGUCUGAGACUGGUGAGCUUGAGUGCAGGAGAGGAACGCGGAAUUCCAGGUGUAGCGGUGAAAUGCGUAGAUAUCUGGAGGAACACCGGUGGCGAAGGCGGCUCGCUGGGACGGUACUGACGCUGAGGCGCGAAAGCGUGGGGAGCGAACAGG
rnacentral:rRNA from 1 species